rnacentral:lncRNA from 1 species
AAUAUGUCUAUUUUCUACUUGGGAGUUCAACAUUUGCAAUUACAUCCCUUGAUUUAAAAUUAAAAAAAUUCAGAAGUACAAAACUGGGAUAAAAUGCAUGCUCCUGAAUGUAACACAAUGCAGAGAUUAUGUUUCCUUUUGCAGGCAUGCAUGUAUGUAGACAUGGAUGACAGAAAAGGUGUUUCUUCUUUCGAUGAAGAAGAAUCAUAGAUCUCCGACCGCAGCUUAAGUUUGGAAUUUCUGUUGACCCCAGCCUGUUAAAAUUUAUACAUGCAUAUCAACCAGUGGAACUCCUCACUUCGGGGAGCUGGGGCAGGCCGGUGGGUACCUCAUGGGAUGUGGGGCAGGCCGUCCCCAUGCUCUCUCUCUGCUGUUUAUGUAGCAAUUCGCCUUGUAGUCUGAAGCAUACGAACUUGUAUCAGCAUCUAUAUGUUUAUGUCCCUAUCAUCUUAUAUUUGGAUAAAAUUAUUACUGAAUAAAAUAGCAUCAAGAAAAAAACAAGAGGAACAUAUGAUCAAAAUGCGGUCUGUUAGUGUGCUAAUAUGCAUCUUUGGUGGUACUUUUGCUAAAAACUGAGUGCCCAAAUGAAAGUAAGUGCAACCAGGAGAAAGUAAAACAACCAUACACUGCCUAAAAACAUAGUACAAACUUCACUGACCCUGCUGAAGACGAAAACAAGAGGCUGGAUGAAGAAGCUGCUCCACAGUACUCAAGGAUCGUGGUGAGAGACGAAAACUUAGAGCUUCAUGGAGAAAUUGCAUGUCUGAAGGUUGUAGAUAGGGCUAGUCAAUCAGUUCAGGUACAAAAAGGGCCCCAGACUGCAGCAAAAUGAACUGAAAAGAUAUCUUCUGAACCUAUAAAAGCUCCAGUUUCUCUAGCAAGGGGAAAAUUCAGAGUUAUACCUAUUGAGUAGAUUUCCAGGCCCGACAGUAUGCAGUGUGCAUGCGAACUCGACCUCAAAACAGAAUACAAUACGUGCUGGCGGCUGAUAGCUUUCCGAUUGGAACACACAAUACGGCUCCCUGCAAAAAGCAAAAAACACAAUAUGGCUUGGCUGAUUGAUUUUUAUUGACUUGAUUCCCGGGAGGAUUACUUACGCUCAAGAUGAGAAAGGCACACCUCCGUACGCCUGAAUCAAGUGCAUUGGUAUACACUAGGCCGUUGCCACACAUCCUGGAGAUACAAGGCACGUCAACAACGCAUCUAUACGCGGCAACGUUGCAGACACAUAGACGGUCAAUCGCACGCACAAUGUCUGUACCAUAUCAGCACAUCCUGUACAAUAUAACUGCUAUGACAUCAAGUGCAUCGGUACCAUGACGCCACCGUAACACCGUACCACUCUAUACUAACUUCUAACUGGACACGCAGCAACAAAACAACAACCAGAGUUUAACUCACCCAUGUACAGACAGACUCUGUUAAUAAGGCAGGAACAACAAUUCAUUGUGAUACAGCAAAGACAGUCAAGCAAUAUAGCCCUGAUCAAAUCAGAACCAGCAACAGGAACGUCACUACAUUAAGCAACACCAAGACAAUUGACAAAAUAUCAUCAGUCUAGUCUGAUCCAAUCAACUCACCAUCAACAACCACGGGAACUUUGACCGCCUGGGGGUCCGGCUGGGGCUGAGGGGCAGGGAGGGGCAGAUAUGGCAGGCCAUUGGUGACGGCUUUGGCCAACUUGUAUGCAACGACGUCAGUCCAGUCAUCAGAA